rnacentral:rRNA from 1 species
CGAGGUUUAUCCGAUUCGUCGGAACAGAGUGACAGGUGCUGCAUGGCUGUCGUCAGCUCGUGUCGUGAGAUGUUGGGUUAAGUCCCGCAACGAGCGCAACCCUCGACCUUAGUUGCCAGCAUUCAGUUGGGCACUCUAAGGUGACUGCCGGCUAAAAGUCGGAGGAAGUGGGGAUGACGUCAAAUCAUCAUGCCCCUUAUGACCUGGGCUACACACGUGCUACAAUGGGCGGUACAAAGGGUCGCGAACCCGCGAGGGGGAGCCAAUCCCAAAAAGCCGCUCUCAGUUCGGAUUGCAGGCUGCAACUCGCCUGCAUGAAGCCGGAAUCGCUAGUAAUCGCAGGUCAGCAUACUCGCGGUUCCGAAUACGUUCCGGCCUU